GUCACACAUUACAUUACUGGCUUAUCCUCACAUCAACCACCGCAUUGGCCUCAAAAUCUCAUCCACGCAAACUCUAAUCCAUUUCCAACCGAAAAAAAUCCUGCUGCCCUUCUUUUCUCACUUCUUCCGCAGCAACUCACAACCAAUUGCUAGAAAGGAGCUUCCUUUCCUCUUCUUCUCCUUCUCCUUUUUUACAUCAUCACAACCAUGGCCGCUGCAGUAACUGCUGCAGUCUCUUUUCCUUCCUCCAAUUCCAUUUCUCUCUCCUCAAGAACUUCUCUCGUAGCUCCAGAAAGAAUCACCUUUAAGCAGGUUCCUGUUUAUUUCAAAGAUGUUUCUGCUGGUGGGAGAGUGGUUUGCAUCAGAGCCCAGGUCACCACUGAGGCUCCUACUAAGGUUCAGAAGGAAUCCAAAAAAAUGGAGGAAGGUGUGAUCGUUAACAAGUUCAAGCCUAAAAACCCUUAUAUUGGUAGAUGCCUUUUGAAUACUAAGAUCACUGGUGAUGAUGCUCCUGGAGAAACUUGGCACAUGGUGUUCAGCACUGAGGGUAUGGAUUAUAAUUCUCCUUUUUGUUUACUUGUGUUUGGAAUCUAAUAAAAUCUUUAAAGGAUGUAUUGGAUUCCUUUCAACUGAUUAGUAGAUGGUUGAAUUCUUGAUAUAUUAAUGCAAAUCAUCGCAUUUGAAACAUUAUAUUUCAGAAUUGUUGCCACAAACAGACGUAAUACUGAAGAUUUAACAAAAUCAUUUCUUCUUUAUGAUGUUUUUGAGGUGAUUCAAUAAUAUAUUGUCGAUCUUGUUGAGCUGAGUGGUAUUGGGUUGUUUAGGAGAGGUUCCGUACAGAGAAGGGCAAUCUGUUGGUGUAAUUCCAGAUGGUGUCGACAAGAAUGGGAAGCCUCACAAGCUGAGAUUGUAUUCAAUUGCCAGCAGUGCCCUUGGUGACUUUGGAGACUCCAAAACUGUGAGCUGCUUAUUUGAUUCAUAUUUGUUUCCACAUCUUUGUUUCCGAUGUAUAUUAUUCUUGAAAGGUUCUAAAGUUCUUGUGAAAUUGGUAUUUAUAAUGAACAUUUUUUGACACAAGCUACUUAGCAAAUUUAGUUGAUCGUCAAAGAAAUCAACUUGUCUUCCAUUCUUUUUCUGUUGUUUUUAGUUCAAUGUUGGUCUAAUACGAUCAUAUUUGUCCAGGUUUCUCUUUGUGUGAAGCGGCUUGUGUACGUCAAUGAAAAAGGAGAAACUGUAAAAGGAGUCUGCUCAAAUUUCUUGUGUGACUUGAAACCUGGAUCUGAAGUGAAGAUUACAGGACCAGUUGGAAAAGAAAUGCUCAUGCCUAAAGAUCUCAAUGCCACAAUCAUCAUGCUUGCAACUGGCACCGGUAUUGCGCCUUUCCGAGCGUACUUGUGGAAAAUGUUCUUUGAGAAGCAUGAGGACUAUAAGUUCAAUGGUUUGGCAUGGCUCUUCUUGGGUGUCCCCACAAGUAGUUCAUUGCUGUACAAGGAGGAAUUCGAGAAAAUGAAGGAGAAGGCCCCAAACAACUUCAGGGUUGACUUUGCCGUAAGCAGAGAGCAAACAAAUGAGAAAGGGGAAAAAAUGUACAUCCAAACUCGCAUGGCUCAGUACGCGGAAGAGCUGUGGGAGUUACUGAAGAAAGAUGACACCUACGUCUAUAUGUGCGGAUUGAAGGGGAUGGAAAAGGGAAUUGAUGACAUUAUGGUAUCACUGGCAGCUAAAGAUGGCAUUGAUUGGUUGGAGUACAAAAGGUCAUUGAAGAAAGCAGAACAAUGGAAUGUGGAAGUAUACUAAUGAACGAAUACUUGUAAAAAAAUCUCCUCCUUUAAUUUUGAGUAUUUCAAGCAGGCAACCUAUAAUGAUAUGUUUUCCAUGUAUUGUGUGGAUAAACAAUAUCAUAUGACUGUAAUUUUUCUCUUAAUAUUUUUUGCUAUUUCUAGAGGAAUCAAAGAUCAUAGAAUAAAUAAUGGAAGCCAACUUCCGAUAGAUCAUCAUAUGAUCAUCAUAUGAUCAUCAUUUUUAAAGAUUGGGAAUAUAUUUAGCAUCACAAAUCUCCUUCCAAGAAAUAAUCAUUAAAACAUGUGGGAAAUCCCCGGUUUUGUGGUUUAGACAAAAAGGCCAAAACCUCAACAAAGGUUUUAGUGAAAUUGCUUGAAUUAACACUCACAGAAUGAUCUGAAACUGUGUUAAGAGCAUAAAACGUAUACUAUCCUAAGAUUUAAUUGUAAUAAUUAUAUAAAGAAUAUGGUUGACACUCUAACCAUGUUCAACCUAAAGGGACCAUAUCAUGAUCACCAAACUCAUUGAUCAACCCUGCCUAAAAAAAAAAAAAAAACUCUGCAU
rnacentral:misc_RNA from 1 species